AUUGAACGCUGGCGGCAGGCCUAACACAUGCAAGUCGAGCGGAUGAAGGGAGCUUGCUCCUGGAUUCAGCGGCGGACGGGUGAGUAAUGCCUAGGAAUCUGCCUGGUAGUGGGGGAUAACGUCCGGAAACGGGCGCUAAUACCGCAUACGUCCUGAGGGAGAAAGUGGGGGAUCUUCGGACCUCACGCUAUCAGAUGAGCCUAGGUCGGAUUAGCUAGUUGGUGGGGUAAAGGCCUACCAAGGCGACGAUCCGUAACUGGUCUGAGAGGAUGAUCAGUCACACUGGAACUGAAACACGGUCCCGACUCCUACGGGAGGCAGCAGUGGGGAAAAUUAGACAAUGGGCGAAAGCCUGAUCCAGCCAUACCGCGUGUGUGAAGAAGGUCUUCGGAUUGUAAAGCACUUUAAGUUGGGAGGAAGGGCAGUAAGUUAAUACCUUGCUGUUUUGACGUUACCAACAGAAUAAGCACCGGCUAACUUCGUG
rnacentral:rRNA from 1 species